rnacentral:rRNA from 1 species
UCAGACGAUGCGUCAUGCAUAUCAAUAAGCGGAGGAAAAGAAACUAACAAGGAUUCCCCUAGUAACGGCGAGUGAAGCGGGAAGAGCUCAAAUUUGAAAUCUUAAAGGGUUUCCCUUUACGAAUUGUAGUUUAAAGAAGUGUUUUCUGUUGAGGUUUUGGUAAAAGUUCUUUGGAAUAGGACAUCAUAGAGGGUGAGAAUCCCGUAUUUGACCUUUACUUUCAACUUUGUGAUACACUUUCAAAGAGUCGGAUUGUUUGGGAAUGCAGUCCAAAAUGGGUGGUAAAUUUCAUCUAAAGCUAAAUAUUGGCGUGAGACCGAUAGCGAACAAGUACCGUGAGGGAAAGAUGAAAAGAACUUUGAAAAGAGAGUUAAACAGUACGUGAAAUUGUCAAAAGGGAAGCGUUUGACACCAGUGUUGUUUUUCUGAAAAUCAAUUAAAGAACUGUUUAUGCUAAGUUGUUUAGACUUUAUCAGCUAACUGUUUAGUUUUGAGCUUUUCUUUAAUGCACUUUUCAGUUAACAAGUCAACAUCAAUUUCUUUUGCUGUAAAAAAGCUUGAGGAAGGUGGCUUGAGAUUCGUCUUAAGUGUUUAUAGCCUCUUGCCUAUGCAGUCGGAGAGAUUGAGGUCUGCAGCGUAGAUCCUUCGGGGCUAAAUGCAUUUGUGCUAAGUUAUAGCAUUUUAUAGACAACCUUGUUGACUAUGAUUUGUCUUGUAGCUUACUCGCUUAUGUUAUUUUACCUACGCUUAGGAUGUUGAGCGCAUGUCUCUCUCU